AGCGAACGCUGGCGGCAGGCCUAACACAUGCAAGUCGAACGGAUCCUUCGGGAUUAGUGGCGGACGGGUGAGUAACACGUGGGAACGUGCCCUUUGGUUCGGAACAACUCAGGGAAACUUGAGCUAAUACCGGAUGUGCCCUUCGGGGGAAAGAUUUAUCGCCAUUGGAGCGGCCCGGGUCUGAUUAGCUAGUUGGUGGGGUAAAGGCCCACCAAGGAGACGAUCAGUAGCUGGUCUGAGAGGAUGAUCAGCCACAUUGGGACUGAGACACGGCCCAAACUCCUACGGGAGGCAGCAGUGGGGAAUCUUGCGCAAUGGGCGAAAGCCUGACGCAGCCAUGCCGCGUGAAUGAUGAAGGUCUUAGGAUUGUAAAAUUCUUUCACCGGGGACGAUAAUGACGGUACCCGGAGAAGAAGCCCCGGCUAACUUCGUGCCAGCAGCCGCAGUAA
rnacentral:rRNA from 1 species